GUCCCCGUAGUUUAACUGGAUAAAACUGUUGCCUCCUAAGCGACCGAUCUGGGUUCGAUUCCCGGCGGGGACACCA
rnacentral:tRNA from 1 species